AACGAACGCUGGCGGCAUGCCUAACACAUGCGAGUCGAACGAGACCUUCGGGUCUAGUGGCGCACGGGUGCGUAACGCGUGGGAACCUGCCCUUAGGUUCGGAAUAACUCCCCGAAAGGGGUGCUAAUACCGGAUAAUGUCUUCGGACCAAAGAUUUAUCGCCUUUGGAUGGGCCCGCGUUGGAUUAGCUAGUUGGUAGGGUAAAAGCCUACCAAGGCGACGAUCCAUAGCUGGUCUGAGAGGAUGAUCAGCCACACUGGGACUGAGACACGGCCCAGACUCCUACGGGAGGCAGCAGUGGGGAAUAUUGGACAAUGGGCGAAAGCCUGAUCCAGCAAUGCCGCGUGAGUGAUGAAGGCCUUAGGGUUAUAAAGCUCUUUUACCCGGGAUGAUAAUGACAGUACCGGGAGAAUAAGCUCCGGCUAACUCCGUG
rnacentral:rRNA from 1 species